GAGUCUAGUUAGCAUCUAUACUGUGAAACUGCGAAUGGCUCAUUAAAUCAGUUAUCGUUUAUUUGAUAGUACCUUACUACUUGGAUAACCGUGGUAAUUCUAGAGCUAAUACAUGCUAAAAACCCCGACUUCGGAAGGGGUGUAUUUAUUAGAUAAAAAACCAAUGCCCUUCGGGGCUCCUUGGUGAAUCAUGAUAACUUAACGAAUCGCAUGGCCUUGCGCCGGCGAUGGUUCAUUCAAAUUUCUGCCCUAUCAACUUUCGAUGGUAGGAUAGUGGCCUACCAUGGUAGCAACGGGUAACGGGGAAUUAGGGUUCUAUUCCGGAGAGGGAGCCUGAGAAACGGCUACCACAUCCAAGGAAGGCAGCAGGCGCGCAAAUUACCCAAUCCCGACACGGGGAGGUAGUGACAAUAAAUACUGAUACAGGGCUCUUUCGAGUCUUGUAAUUGGAAUGAGUACAAUUUAAAUACCUUAACGAGGAACAAUUGGAGGGCAAGUCUGGUGCCAGCAGCCGCGGUAAUUCCAGCUCCAAUAGCGUAUAUUAAAGUUGUUGCAGUUAAAAAGCUCGUAGUUGAACCUUGGGCCUGGCUGGCCGGUCCGCCUCACCGCGUGUACUGGUUCGGCCGGGCCUUUCCUUCUGGGGAUCCGCAUGCCCUUCACUGGGUGUGUCGGGGAACCAGGACUUUUACUUUGAAAAAAUUAGAGUGUUCAAAGCAGGCCUUUGCUCGAAUACAUUAGCAUGGAAUAAUAGAAUAGGGACGUGCGGUCCUAUUUUUGUUGGUUUCUAGGACCGCCGUAAUGAUUAAUAGGGGAUAGUCGGGGGGCAUCAGUAUUCAAUUGUCAGAGGUGAAAUUCUUGGAAUUUAUUGAAGACUAACUACUGCGAAAGAUUUUGCCAAGGAUGUUUUCAUUAAUCAGUGAACGAAAGUUAGGGGGAUCGAAGACGAUCAAAAUACCGUCGUAGUCUUAACCGUAACUAUGCCGACUAGGGGAUCGGGGCGAUGUUAUUAUUUUGACUCGCUCGGCACUUACGAA
rnacentral:rRNA from 1 species